AACCCAGAGGAUUAAAGUGUUGGUACUCUAUCACAGUCAAAUGCUUCUGUUAUGGUAUAUUUUACUAAAUUAAAGAAAUUAUGGGAUGAGUUAGCUUGUCUCAAACCACUGCUAGUGUGUAAAUGUGGAGCAUCUAAGAAAAUGGAUGAUAUUAACAGUGAAGAUAAGCUUAUUAAUUUCUAAUGGGGUUAAAUGAAACAUAUGACAAUGUUAGAAACCAGAUUCUUUUAAUGAACCCCUUGCCUAGUGUUAACAGGGCAUACUCAAUGGUGUUGCGGGUGGAGAAACAAAAGGAAAUCCAUGAUGAUGUUGUUGAUGAGCUCAAGUCUACCAUGACUGUCAAAGGGCAAUACCAGAAAGAUAAACUUUAGAAUAAGAAAAAGGGUCAUGGCAAGAAGGAAGGGAAAUUUUGUGAUCACUACAAUGCUAUUGGCCAUACCGGAGAUUCAUGCUUUAAACCCCAUGGUUAACUCAAAUAAAAGAAAGGCAAAGGCAAGGUACCACUGGCAGCUAAUGUGUUUGAGAAAGUACCUAAAGGAGAUGGCAAAGCAGAUUAUAAGAGUUAACCAGCUGGAAUUGACUAGGCCAACAUGAUACAGUAGGAGAUUGCAAAGUUCAUGCAAACCAGAAUCCUACAAUGAAUGAGGCAACCUGUGUCAACUUCACUGGUUUUGCAGGUGAGGAUUCAAUUGACUACUCCUUUAGCAGACAUGGUAAGAACAAUGGUUUGCGGAUUGUAGAUUCUGGUGCUUCAUUUCACAUGUGCUAUGAUUACUUUUUCAGAAUACUACCAAAUUAAACCACCACAGCUUAGUUGUAUUACCAAAUGGGACUGUUAAACUUGUUUCUUACAAAGGUGACAUCAAGAUUACACCCAAUUUGCUGCUUCAUAACACACUAUUCAUACCCAAUUUUAAACAUAACCUAAUAUCAUUAAGUGAACUCACCAAAACUUCCAAUGUUUUUGUCACCUUUUAUUCUGACCAUUGCUUUUUGCAGGACCAAGUGACUAAGGAAGUGGUGGCAAGAGGUAAACUGCUGGGGGGACUAUACAUUAUGAGCAAUCGGUCUUUUAAAAAUAAGUGUAGUCAUGAAGUUUUUGAUGAUGUACCUGCUUCAAAAUCCUAUUGUACUGCAUAUAAAAUGAAUGAAGUUAAUCUUUCUCCAGAUUCUUAUGAUGUAUGGCAUUACAAGCUUGGACAUAUCUCAAACACCAAAUUACCUCAUAUCCCUGUAAUAAAACCAAAGGAAAAAGGUCAUGAAGUUUGUGAGGUGUUUGGGUGAAGCCCAAGAGUAUUAGAAGUGCAAAGGAAAGUUUGGAGAGGUCAAAAGACUCAAAAUUUCUACUGAUACAAAGUACACGGGCCGUGUAAAUAAAGCCACAGACCUGUGUAACCUUCUGUUAGACGAAAGCCAGAGAGCCAAUGGAGAAACACAAGUACACGG
rnacentral:misc_RNA from 1 species